CAUGUAGGCGGUUUUUUAAGUCUGGAGUGAAAAUGCGAGGCUCAACCCCGUAUAGCUCUGGAUACUGGAAGACUUGAGUGCAGGAGAGGAAAGGGGAAUUCCCAGUGUAGCGGUGAAAUACGUAGAUAUUGGGAGGAACACCAGUGGCGAAGGCGCCUUUCUGGACUGUGUCUGACGCUGAGAUGCGAAAGCCAGGGUAGCGAACG
rnacentral:rRNA from 1 species